UCGAUGAUUGACAUACCACAAUACUAUCGCCGAAUAUCUUUAUUUAAUAUCUUUCUGAUCAAAACAGACUUCAAGUGCACAAAGUUUACGAGACGGCGUUUAUGAAGAUUUCUGCAACUGACCGCAAACUGACCUUGAUACCUUGCGGAUUGGAAUGCAAUGCAUUAAAGUUAGGUAACAAUUCUGCUGCUGAAACGACGGCUUGUUUACGCCAACUGUACACGACCAAGGCAACAGCUGUGCCUAAAAUAUUGAUAUAUCGACAAAGCGACUAAACGAACUAUUUACUCCAUCAGACAAAAAUAGCAUAGAUUCCAAUUUUUUCCUUCAAUGAAAAGAUCGCAACCCCUUCUGCGAACUCCGGUGAUGAACUGUAUAUAAACUCUGACUUUCACAAACUGGCCGCGAAUUGACCCGAAACCUCGCGGGUUGAAAUGCAAUGCAAGUAUGUUUCCAAUGUUCUGGUGUUACACUCAAAUCAGCCAAUGGAAUAAAUGAAGUGUAUUCAUUCGUACCUAGCCGCGGGAAAUUUUAUUUGAUUAUUAUUGGACACUUACAAAGGUCAAGUCAGGGUGAAAAGCUGGCUUAAUACAGCUUACGCCGAAAAAAAGCACACCUGAGAGAUUCUAAUUAAACGUUCCUGAAAUAAAGUAAACAAUAAGGUUGAUGUGUAUUGAUUGAUGUUUCUUCACAAAUGUUACUUAAAUUAGUCCUUCAACAAUUGUUAUAACACAAAAGACGGACUUCAGACGUCAAUCUGAAUACAAAAAGAUUACGUCACUAUAUCGCUGACGUUACGCCGUUGUAAUUGACGUCAAUGACGUCGAGCGUCAUGGUAACAGGGUUGAACGUGUUUUGUCAAGUUGUGCCGGUAUCAGAUGGAUAAGUAUUAUUUAUUUAUUCAUUUUAUAUUUUAUUGUAAGCUUAACCACUUAUCAUAGCAUAUAUUUGCCUGGAAUGAAAUUAUCAUAUCAUUGUAAUAUGUGCCAAUUAUGACGUCCUAAAUGUACAUUUGUCGAGAGAGGAAUCGGCCACUGGUAGAAGAAGGUUGUUUAUACAACCAUACUCGCAUUGUUUUUGUCAUAUUUACACUUCAUUUGAAAUAUAUGAUUUAUUUAUUCAAUCUAAAAACAAGUCCAUUUAAAGUCCGGUUCCGUUGCCUAGGUAAUGCCGAAAUCGAGCCAGACGCUUAAGAAAGGCGUAGUGACGGAGGAUGAAGUGCGACCGACGUCGUCGGGACAUCGGUCGGGAUCUCAGUGCUCUUUGCCGACAGAUCGGGUCCACAGUGCGCGUUCCGUACCCCGGCCCGCUGCAGCAUCGUGACCGUCUACAACUUGGAGCAGAGGCUGGUGGGAGUGGGUCGGGACGUGCCGGACCGGGACGCUGUGUAUACCCUUGGGCGCGAGUCUGCGCAACUCUUCAGACAUCAAACGCUACCGAAGGGUUACACCAACAUCCUCGCAUUCGAUCCGGACUCGAAAUCAUAUCAUGUAACCGUACAACGAAGUGUGCCCGACUAAAAAUUUGAGAAGGACGUCAAUUUGACGUCAUGAAUUUAUUAUUUCAACGAAAUUCGAAAGUUAACCUUUGUUCAAAUGUAAAAAAAGGACUAAUAUUCAUACAAUAACAAAGAAAAUAAUAAUAAUGAAAUGACCUAUACUGAAAACAAAUCUAGUGUUGACAUAAUUUUAUAAACACAUGUUAUAGAAAAUACGUCAAUUGCGGGAGGAAAGGGGAGGGCAAAUAAAGACUAUUAUUCUCGGAAAGCUGAUCUUUAUGAUAAUGCAUAAAGAGUGAUUCUAGAUAAGCCUGUGCAGUCCGCACCAGCUAAUCAGGGACGAAACUUUCCGAUUUAUUGGAUUUUUUCGUUAAAAGGAAUUCUCUUCUGAACGAAAAUUCAAUUUCUGCGGAGUGUCAUCCCUGUAAGCGUUUGCGGACUGCACAGGCCAAUCUGAAAUGACAUUUUACGCACAUGAAUUAAUCCCAGUACGAGGCCUGAACAAUCUUAUCUUAAUAAUGCACAAUUUCUAUUCUCAAAGUGGUGUGCACUGGGCGGGACUGGUUCCUCCACGGAAGUUUAUUAUGUGAACAGCCGGCCCACUUCCGGCCGAUGUCGGCCCUUCGCCGCCGGACCAGACAGAUCGUCCAUCUCUUUAGAGCCGGUCAGUCCUUUCCAGUAUCAGAAGUUACUCGCUCUUGGUUUCCGGCCCAGUACCCUUUUGCUGGACCCGGACUGCGUGUAUGACGCAACCAGCCACCGCGGUUGUAGUACGCAUGCGCCGCGAUCCCGGAAGGAGAGCCCGCAGAAACCGGAUGCAACAAGCGGGACCGCGGCGCGGAGCGCUGUUGAUCCACAAAUUGACGCGGCAACGCCGGAUGAUCUAGCUUGCCCGGAGGCCGAUGUCAUGCGCAGUGACAAUAUCGACCGGAUCGCCCCAAGUCUGCACAUGCGCAGUGACACAUCACCCAGUCGUCCGAAUGCCGCAGUUUUCAGUUUCCGGAACAACGAAAACGUGUCUCACUCGAAGGUGCAGCACCUUAUACAGACUCAACGUUCCAGUGCAAAGUAUCCAGUUCAAUGCCCUCGAUAUCCGGUCAUCGCGACCAGUUGUCAAAUCCUGCUGGGUCGUCGAAUUUUGUACUACAGCGGAUGUUGAAAAAUCUAUACAGUUGGGACUUAAGUGGGUACUGACCUGUUGGUGUUUUAUCCGCACGAUGACGCCAUUAGACGCGAAACUGCGACCUAUAGAAACUACAUGGAGGUUGUUAACGCCCACGCAGUGAUCGCAGCGUCUGCUGAUAACGCAGUGCGCGGGAAACUUUAACACGAAGUUUACAACGGUCGAUGUCACUCGCAACCUUAAAGCUACCAUGAAGAUAUGAGCUAAUUGGAAUUGACUUUUUAUCCCGCGCCAUAGGCGGAGGGAUAUUGUUUUGGCGUUGUCCGUAUGUCUUUCCGUCCGUCCUUUCGUCCGUCCGGCACUUUUGUGUCCGAAGCCCUAUCUUGGAAGUGCUUUGGCAGAUUUCGAUGAAACUUGGUAUGAGUAUAUAUAUGGAUAAGAGGAUGAUGCACGCCUAAUGGCAUUGUACACCAUCUGUUAAUAACAGAGUUAUGGCCCUUUGUAUCUUGGAAAAAUGCUUUUUUGUGUCCGGAGCCAUAUCUUGGAAGUGCUUUGGCGGAUUUCAAUUAAACUUGGUAUGAGUAUAUAUAUGGAUAAGAGGAUGAUGCAUGCCUAAUGGCAUUGUACACCAUCUGUUAAUAACAGAGUUAUGGCUCAUUGUAUCUUGGAAAAAUGAGUAUAUAUAUGGAUAAGAGGAUGAUGCACACCAAAUGGCAUUGUACACCAUUGGGUAAUAAAUGAGUUAUGGCCCUUUGUAUCUUGAAAAAAUGCUUUUUUGAGUGUCAAAUAUAACACUUUUGGGUCCAGAAGCAUAUUGGCGGGGGAUAUCAAUUCAACGUAUUUGCUUGUUGAAACUAUGUCAUCAUGUUAAUUUGCGUCCUUUGGUAUAUGUACCAUAGCAUGUACCAAUAAUGACUCGAUUUUUCAGGUUAAGAUUCAAGAGGGAUAAUUUCAUUACCGCCAUUUUAAUUCAACCAUCCACAUACAGGCACAACUAAGCUUCCCUUCUGUAGUUUCAGUUUUUGUUUGUUUUAAAUACUCAUAAAUAUAAUAUAUGUAUUGAUAAUAAUAACGUAUAACAUAUUGAAUCAUUUCCCACUUCAAACACACAAUUAUGUUAUGUAUACAUUCAACAGACUUAGAACAACUAUAAAUCAGCUUUGUUGUAAAGACAUUUUAGUUUAGGGCCCUCUCUUAUCAAAUAACUUCAGACACAUUGUGUGGACAGACCUACCAACAGACAGACAGACACGAUGAUGGACAGAGGGUUAGCCUACAGCCACCUAUAUCGGAAUACAUC